rnacentral:rRNA from 1 species
AGGACGAACGCUGGCGGCGUGCUUAACACAUGCAAGUCGAGCGGAAAGGCCCUUCGGGGUACUCGAGCGGCGAACGGGUGAGUAACACGUGAGCAACCUGCCCUUAGCUUCGGGAUAGCUCCGGGAAACCGGAAAUUAAUACCGAAUAUGACUGCGGCUGACAUCAGCCACGGUGGAAAGUUUUUUCGGCUAGGGAUGGACUCGCGGCCUAUCAGCUAGUUGGUGAGGUAACGGCCCACCAAGGCGACGACGGGUA